UGUAGAAUGAACCGGCGAGUUACGAUCUGAUGCAAGGUUAAGCAGCAAAUGUGGAGCCGCAGCGAAAGCGAGUCUGAAUAGGGCGUUGAGUAUUUGGUCGUAGACCCGAAACCAGGUGAUCUACCCUUGGUCAGGUUGAAGUUCAGGUAACACUGAAUGGAGGACCGAACCGACUUACGUUGAAAAGUGAGCGGAUGAACUGAGGGUAGCGGAGAAAUUCCAAUCGAACUUGGAGAUAGCUGGUUCUCUCCGAAAUAGCUUUAGGGCUAGCCUCAAGUGAUGAUUAUUGGAGGUAGAGCACUGUUUGGACGAGGGGCCCCUCUCGGGUUACCGAAUUCAGACAAACUCCGAAUGCCAAUUAAUUUAACUUGGGAGUCAGAACAUGGGUGAUAAGGUCCGUGUUCGAAAGGGAAACAGCCCAGACCACCAGCUAAGGUCCCAAAAUAUAUGUUAAGUGGAAAAGGAUGUGGCGUUGCCCAGACAACUAGGAUGUUGGCUUAGAAGCAGCCAUCAUUUAAAGAGUGCGUAAUAGCUCACUAGUCGAGUGACACUGCGCCGAAAAUGUACCGGGGCUAAACAUAUUACCGAAGCUGUGGAUUGUCCUUUGGACAAUGGUAGGAGAGCGUUCUAAGGGCGUCGAAGCAUGAUCGCAAGGACAUGUGGAGCGCUUAGAAGUGAGAAUGCCGGUGUGAGUAGCGAAAGACGGGUGAGAAUCCCGUCCACCGAUUGACUAAGGUUUCCAGAGGAAGGCUCGUCCGCUCUGGGUUAGUCGGGUCCUAAGCUGAGGCCGACAGGCGUAGGCGAUGGAUAACAGGUUGAUAUUCCUGUACCACCUAGUAUCGUUUUAAUCGAUGGGGGGACGCAGUAGGAUAGGCGAAGCGUGCUGUUGGAGUGCACGUCCAAGCAGUAAGGCUGAGUGUUAGGCAAAUCCGGCACUCAUAAGGCUGAGCUGUGAUGGGGAGAGGAAAUUGUUUCCUCGAGUCGCUGAUUUCACACUGCCGAGAAAAGCCUCUAGAUAGAUAACAGGUGCCCGUACCGCAAACCGACACAGGUAGUCAAGAUGAGAAUUCUAAGGUGAGCGAGCGAACUCUCGUUAAGGAACUCGGCAAAAUGACCCCGUAACUUCGGGAGAAGGGGUGCUCUUUAGGGUUCACGCCCAGAAGAGCCGCAGUGAAUAGGCCCAAGCGACUGUUUAUCAAAAACACAGGUCUCUGCUAAACCGUAAGGUGAUGUAUAGGGGCUGACGCCUGCCCGGUGCUGGAAGGUUAAGAGGAGUGGUUAGCUUCUGCGAAGCUACGAAUCGAAGCCCCAGUAAACGGCGGCCGUAACUAUAACGGUCCUAAGGUAGCGAAAUUCCUUGUCGGGUAAGUUCCGACCCGCACGAAAGGCGUAACGAUUUGGGCACUGUCUCAACGAGAGACUCGGUGAAAUCAUAGUACCUGUGAAGAUGCAGGUUACCCGCGACAGGACGGAAAGACCCCGUGGAGCUUUACUGUAGCCUGAUAUUGAAAUUCGGCACAGCUUGUACAGGAUAGGUAGGAGCCUUUGAAACGUGAGCGCUAGCUUACGUGGAGGCGUUGGUGGGAUACUACCCUAGCUGUGUUGGCUUUCUAACCCGCACCACUUAUCGUGGUGGGAGACAGUGUCAGGCGGGCAGUUUGACUGGGGCGGUCGCCUCCUAAAAGGUAACGGAGGCGCUCAAAGGUUCCCUCAGAAUGGUUGGAAAUCAUUCAUAGAGUGUAAAGGCAUAAGGGAGCUUGACUGCGAGACCUACAAGUCGAGCAGGGUCGAAAGACGGACUUAGUGAUCCGGUGGUUCCGCAUGGAAGGGCCAUCGCUCAACGGAUAAAAGCUACCCCGGGGAUAACAGGCUUAUCUCCCCCAAGAGUUCACAUCGACGGGGAGGUUUGGCACCUCGAUGUCGGCUCAUCGCAUCCUGGGGCUGUAGUCGGUCCCAAGGGUUGGGCUGUUCGCCCAUUAAAGCGGUACGCGAGCUGGGUUCAGAACGUCGUGAGACAGUUCGGUCCCUAUCCGUCGUGGGCGUAGGAAAUUUGAGAGGAGCUGUCCUUAGUACGAGAGGACCGGGAUGGACAUACCUCUGGUGUACCAGUUGUCGUGCCAACGGCAUAGCUGGGUAGCUAUGUAUGGACGGGAUAAGUGCUGAAAGCAUCUAAGCAUGAAGCCCCCCUCAAGAUGAGAUUUCCCAACUUCGGUUAUAAGAUCCCUCGAAGAUGACGAGGUUAAUAGGUUCGAGGUGGAAGCGUGGUGACACGUGGAGCUGACGAAUACUAAUCGAUCGAAGACUUAAUC
rnacentral:rRNA from 3 species